GCUGUGGGGACAGGGGAGGGAGAGUCAGUGACAGCCUGGGGCGGCAGGAUGCUGGCCUUUGCCGCCAAUAGGCAUCUUUUGUUCAGUGCUAGAGUUCAGCUUCCCAGACAGAAACACCUCUGCCCAGGGAGCUAAGCAGCUGCAGGAGCCAGGAAGGGCUCCACUCCACCCAUGCCUUCUUCAUUCUCUGCACAGCCUGGACAGAGCUAAAGGAGGUACCACUGACCCUGCUGCCGUCCUCCAGACCCACGGCUCCUCCCACUUCUUGGAGGAUGAGAUCGGCCUCAUCCAUACUGACCAUGCAGUUCACCUAUAAAUACCAACGCAAGCCAGCUAGCAGGGCUGGGAUAUUUACUGCAUCUCAAACAGCAUUCUGAACGCUGUGUGCCCAUCAUCUGAUCGAAUCCUCACUGCAGCUGUGUGAGUACAUGACAGACUCCAGUUGCCCUUUAAGAACAUGGGUUUGAACUGCAGGGGAUCACUUACAUGUAGAUUUUCUUCUGCCCCUGCACCAGAGACGGCAAGACAAACCCCUCCUCUUCCUCCUCCUGAGGCUACUCAGAGUGAAGAUGAUAAGGAUGAAGAUCUUUAUGGAUAAAGUAACAACUCACUCACUCAAUAAAGGUGGGCUUAUUCUCAAAUUCUCCGGUGCCUUCCUGCAAAGCACAUUGGAACACGAAGCUCGUCCGCGCCUUGCCUCAGACCCCUCCCAUCCACACCCUGUCUCAGGGCCCUUGGUGAAGCCCCCCUAGCUGCUACAGAUGGAGUCGGACACCAUCCAUCGAAGUCUGCUCCAAGGCAGGGAGCAUUUUCUGGACAGAAUGCAUCUCACUGCUCUUGACCACCCAUUGGUAUUUGUGGAUUGAGGUGUCCUUUUUUGUCAGAGUUUACUAAUAACUGAAAGAACGUUUAUCAGAUGGAUUUUUGUUUUCUCUGGACUCACCUGCCUAUUUCUUUUUUCUUUCUCCCUUUUUUUAAAUACGGAAAUAAAAGCA